UCCACAGCGCUUGGGAGGGCGGUGACCGGAGGACGCUGGCGAGUAGCGGAGGAGCGAGGAGACUUAGCCGCCACUGCGCCGCCGCCACCCAGAAUUGCUGGCUUUGUUCUAGCUCUCUCCCUCUGCCCACCUAGCUGCUCCCAUAAUGCUGUGGGUUUUGCAUCCCUAAACCCCUUUGGUCCUCAGUCCAGGGGUCCCGUAUACCCGGAGACUACAGGUGUGGGUCCCCCGCCCUCCUGCAUCCCGAAGGUCCAGGACCCGCUGACUCCAGCUCUCUCCAAAAGACGAUAUCACACACAGCCUCUCUAGCAGUCUUACUGAAGAUUCGGGAUUCUAAGGCUUGGAAGAACGAGCAAGUCAAUGUGGGGAGGAAGAAAAUCAUAAAUUAA
rnacentral:lncRNA from 1 species